UACGGAGGAUUCGAGCGUUAUCCGGAUUUAUUGGGUUUAAAGGGAGCGUAGGCGGGUUGUUAAGUCAGUUGUGAAAGUUUGCGGCUCAACCGUAAAAUUGCAGUUGAUACUGGCAUCCUUGAGUACAGUAGAGGUAAGCGGAAUUCGUGGUGUAGCGGUGAAAUGCUUAGAUAUCACGAAGAACUCCGAUUGCGAAGGCAGCCUGCUGGACUGUAACUGACGCUGAUGCUCGAAAGUGUGGGUAUCAAACAGG
rnacentral:rRNA from 1 species